ensembl:snoRNA
AUCCUUUUGUAGUUCGUAAGUGAUGACUGGGUUUUCACCCUCAUGCAUGAAAUGUGCCUCCCUCAAACCUUGUUAUGAUGUAGGCACAUUAACCAUCUGACA